ensembl:snRNA U4 U4 spliceosomal RNA
AGCUGUGCACAGUGGCAGGAUUGUAGACACUGAGGUUUAUCUGAGAUGUAAUUAUUGCUAAUUGAAAACUUGGAUCAGCCUAUGGC